AGUCAAUUGGUGCUUCAAACACAGCAGGCUUAGUAGUGAAUUCAAUAGGAAAAAUUAUUCCAGUUGACUUUAAAAGAUGGAUAACGCUACCAACACAGCCAAUAAUAAAAGCGAAAUAGAGUAUUGCACUGAAUCCAAUUUUCUUCAAUUGAAAGAGCAUAGGUUUCUCUAAAAUUUCACGAAUUGGAUGAAAUUGAGGAUCAUUUGGAUCACGCAAAAAAUACAGGACUCCAGGACGAACAAUUUUACGUACCAUGGAAAUGAAAACCGCAAACUCAAACAUAAAUGUUAUCCCAAUGAACCAUGCCAAAAAAAUGCUUUGUGCUGGAUAAACUGUCAUUACAUUGAGAAGAUUCUCGGCAGCAAGCUUUUUGAAAGUGCCAAUUAAGCACAUGCUUAGCAAUAUCCCGCAGAAAAUAGGAAAAACAACCAAUUCGAUAGAAAAAAUUAUUCCGAAUUUUGCUAUAGAUCCGCAUUGUCUCAAAACUUCUCUAAAAGCUAAUUCCACAUUCCUGAUUUGAGGGUCAUUAAAUAGAAAUUGUUUGCGAUUAAGAUAUGAAAUCCCUAAAAACGUA